GCUGAGGAAUGAUGACAAUAAAAGGCCGAAUUGCAGUGUCUCCAUAAGCAGUUUGCUCUCUUUGGAAGCACAAUGACAAAGUCUCCUGAAGCGAAUUAUUAGUCUGACCUCAGU
ensembl:snoRNA SNORD89 small nucleolar RNA, C/D box 89